rnacentral:rRNA from 1 species
GACGAACGCUGGCGGCGCGCUUAACACAUGCAAGUCGAGCGAUAACCAUGGCUCCGGCCAUGGGGAGAGCGGCGAACGGGUGAGUAAAACGUGAGCGCUCUGCCCUCGACACUGGGAUAGCCCGGGGAAACCCGGAUUAGUACCGGAUAGCCACUCGGGACCACGGGCACGACCGAAAAGUUUGCUUCGGACUUCGGACGUGGAGGAGCUUGCGGCGGUUUAGCUUGUUGGGGGGGUAACGGCCAACCAAGGCGACGAUCCGUAGCUGGUCUGAGAGGACGAUCAGCCACACUGGGACUGAGACACGGCCCAGACUCCUACGGGGGGCAGCAGUGGGGAAUCUUGCGCAAUGGGCGAAAGCCUGACGCAGCGACGCCGCGUGAGGGAAGAAGGCCUUCGGGUGGUAAACCUCGUUCAGGAGGGACGAAGCUACUCGGGUUAAUAGCCCAGAGGGUGACGGUACCUCCAGAAGAAGCCCCGGCUAACUACGUGCCAGCCGCCGCUGUAAUAC